UAGAAGUCUUAAUUUUGGAUAUUAAUGUUAAGGAGUGGGGGUCUAUGAAACCUGACAUUUUUAUUUCAAAUAGCUUACAUAUACAUAUACAUAUACUUACAUGCUUAUAUAUAUAUAUAAUAUUUGUAUGCUGCUGGAGCAUUAACCAAAAAAAAAAAAAAAGAAGGGAAAGGUGGCAUGGGCUCCAUGUGGUCUUGGGACCAGCCUUUAUUUUCCACCGCCAUGCAUUUGCUUUCAUUUGUUUCCUUCUUUUUCUUUCUUUUCUCUAUUUUUGGUUGGGGGAGACGAAGAAGAAAAUAGAGAGAGAACUAAAGUGCAAAGCUAGAGGAGAAUCGAGGGAAACGAAGAAUGGAAAAGUCGGGAUAUAGGAAGGAAACCUUGGAAUUGAAGCUCAAACUUGCAUUUGCUUAGAUAAUCAACACGGUUCGGAAACAAAGGCGAACAAAAUCAUGCACCCGGAAAGCUUGACUCAUUGAAAUAAUUUUGGCAAGUUCUGAAAGGAAAAUCAAUCUGCCCCUUUGUUUGGUCGAGACAUGUCGACGUGUGCCAAAGACAGAGUUUAUGGCCCUUUCUUUGCCAGUUUUCUGGUACUCUUGUUAUUUCUUCUUUGAUUUCAAUGUUUAUAUUGAACUCUUCUACUUGUUCUUUAAUCCUUAUGGGCUAAUUUCAUAUGCUAAGAUUAUGAUUGAAUCCACAUGUAAUUAAUUUGUUUAUUUUCUCUUGAUCUAAUGAG